AAUACAUUUAUCACCUAUCUAUUUCAGAUUCUGCAAAAUGCAAAAUGAUCUUCCUUUUUCCUUUCCUUUCACACUUCCCAGCGCUUGAUCCUCCCGACGUUACAAAAAGGUGUGUUUUGCAGGAAAGAAGAGAGCAAGAGUGUCAUCCCUUCGACGCCCGUCCGCCCACAUUUUGCUUCCUCCUCCUCGGACAGGCCGCGGAUCGUCACUCUCUGGCCGGCAUCCAAGCGGAAGGCAGCACUUGAGACCCUGCAAAUGCACUUCUUCGGAGGAGAGACCGGACCCCAGCUGCUCAAGGGCUGCGAUUGAGCCCUUUGCUCUACCCAUUUACAAUGAAUUUCCCCCUUUUACAGAAAAAAUAUUGUCAGCCUACGAUGUGCAGACUGGUUGAGGAUGAACUGAGGUGCUUUCAGUCAUGGUUGCAGGGUUAUCGAGUUGGAAGAGACCCCCAAGGGCUAUUCAGUCCAACCCCUAAGAUGAUAGACAGACAGACAGACAGACAGACAGAUUCAUGGGGUUGGGAGAGACCCCAAGGGCCAUCCAGUCCAACCCCUAAGAUGAUAGAAUCAUCUAGACCAGGCCUGGGCAAACUUGGGCCCUCCAGGUGUUUUGGACUUCAACUCCCACAAUUCCUAACAGCUUAUGGCUGUUUGCCCAUGCCUGGUCUAGACACUAUAGUGCUAUGGAUCCCUUUCAAAUGGAGUGUUAUGAAGCCAGAUGUCCCCCGUCCUACUGUAUUUACUUGAAUCUAAUGUUCACCUUUUUGGGCUAAACUGUUGUGGAAUUUCGUUUGGACGCGGGUGAAGAAAGCAGACUGACAGCAGAAGUUGUCUUCAAGAUAGUUUACUUUUGGCCAAGAGCAGGUGACAAUGUUAGCUAAUGCCCAGAAAAUGCAAUGCCACACCUCACCUGUAGUGGCUUUCCAAUUUAUACAAUUUUACAGAAGCAUGCGCAGAAAGCUAACUGACAAUGGAAUUUGCUAUUACAAUCCUUUUGGACAUGCGUAGUUGCCUUGUAACAUAUAUAACUCAUUACUCAUCACAUCAGGUGAAGUGUCCAUAGUUUGCUCCACGUAUGCACUAUUCUCAGGUGACAUGUUCAUAGUUCAUCCCACGUAUGCAUCAUCCAGCAGCCAAAUCAUUACUGUAGUUUGCAUGACCUUAUAUUGUGAGCAAAGAGCAAAUGUCAGGCAGAACAUGUCCUGUCAACACUUUCAUGGAAAAACAAGAUUUUUGAGUAAGGGUCAUCUAGGUAAUGGAUUUUUAGGGUCUUUAAAUAAAAUAUUCAAGAGCUGCUCCAUUAAAACCACCUUGCCAAAAUUAGGGUGUGCAUUAGAUUCGCAUCAUAUGGCAACCUUAGUGCUGAGCUAACGCAAAAGGGGAAGCUGCUUCAGGAACACCUGGAGCUCCUCUUUGAGGGGCGCCCAUCACCUCUAAUUUAAUUCUCAUAGCUCAAUGCUAUGUAGCCCUGGGAUUUCUAGUUUGGUGAGGCAUCAACACUCUUUGUCAGAGUAUGCUCAAGGCUUUGUAAAACUACAUCCCCGAUGACUCCAUAGCAAUGAAUGAAGGCAGUUAAAGUGGAUUCAUUCUAUAGGCUGGGCUGUGCCGCAGUUGGUUGGUAGCUAGAUGCAAUAAAUCACUACUGACCAAGAGAUCAUGAGUUUGAAGCCAGCCGGGUAGGAUUAAACCCCCAACCAUUAAUAGCUUAGCUUACUGUUGACCUAUGCCGCCCGAAAGGCAGUUGCAUCUGUCGAGUAGAAGAUUUACGUACCACUUUAUGUGAGAAGGCUAAUUUAACUAAUCUAAGACACCAUUAAAAACCUACCAGCAGCUGGAAAAUGUUAAGUUGCCUCUGUUUCUGUCUGUAUAUUGUUGGAGUAUGGUUGUAUUUGUAUGAAAUGUAAAUCAAGUGUUUACUGCUGAUGAGCUAGAGUGUGUAUUUUCAGUAAUGAAAUAGUUAACAGCAGGCUAGUUUUGACUGACAGCCUGUUGUGAUUGCUAUGACCUAUCAGGCUUGAUUUCCUGCCUUUGAGGGUUGGAACUUCCUCUGGACAGAGGAAUGUGUUUCUUAUCUUAUCUGUGGAGUUCGGCUUGAGCUUUCUCUGGAGAUGGACUAUGAAUGCUAUGCUCUGAAGCCGAGAAAUGCAACUGUAAAUAGAUCAUGUAAAUAAAGUUAAUCAACAGUUGGA